CAGCAGCCGCGGGAAUACGAAGGGUGCAAGCGUUAAUCGGAAUUACUGGGCGUAAAGCGUGCGUAGGCGGUUUGUUAAGUCUGCUGUGAAAUCCCCGGGCUCAACCUGGGAAUGGCAGUGGAUACUGGCAAGCUAGAGUGUGUCAGAGGAUGGUGGAAUUCCCGGUGUAGCGGUGAAAUGCGUAGAGAUCGGGAGGAACAUCAGUGGCGAAGGCGGCCAUCUGGGACAACACUGACGCUGAGGCACGAAAGCGUGGGGAGCAAACAGGAUUAGAUACCCGGGUAGUCCCUGUCUCUUAUAA
rnacentral:rRNA from 1 species